rnacentral:rRNA from 1 species
CACGUAGGCGGAUUGUUAAGUCGGGGGUGAAAUCCUGGAGCUCAACUCUAGAACUGCCUUCGAUACUGGCGAUCUCGAGUUCGGGAGAGGUGAGUGGAACUGCGAGUGUAGAGGUGAAAUUCGUAGAUAUUCGCAAGAACACCAGUGGCGAAGGCGGCUCACUGGCCCGAUACUGACGCUGAGGUGCGAAAGCGUGGGGAGCAAACA